rnacentral:lncRNA from 1 species
CCUUCCCUUCCCUUCCCUUCCCUUCCCUUCCCCACAUUUGCUCCCUUUGGACUUCCCCCUGUCCUGUGAAUGGUGCUGAGGCUCCUGAAUCACAAAUCGAGAAGUGCAGUGACCUGAUGAAAUAAAUUACUGUUAGAGAAAAAACUCUAUUGUAGAGCUUCUCCCCUUCAAAAUCCACAGUCUGGAAGGGAGAUAUCCCCUCUUCCAUUUCCCAAAUGUUUGGAGGGUCAUACAGGAACUGAAAAGAGUGGGCAAUUUUUGAUUUUCUUAAUUGCCACAAGACAUUUAAAGCUUUAAGCUGUACAACCACUAUCCCCAACUCUUACUACAUUCAAUCACACUUGAAUGCACUGUAGCAGAAUUUCAUUUAGAUUUUGUAAGGUUUGUCCUUUUGAAAUCAGCAUAAAUUAUAAUGUUCCAGUCAAUAGUUUGUCCAACAGACAGCAAGUCACUUGAUUUUGCUUUAGCAUGUCUCAAUCUGUUAAACAAUAGGGCUUUUCUUUGCUGAAGUGGGACUGGUGUGCAUGCAGUAAGAAUAAGCUCAUUCUAACAGCUUUUCUUUGCUUUUCUGUUUUAGAGAGAGAGAAUUUGUAAAUACACUGUAUUAAAUCAUGUUUGGUAUCAAACUGUGAACCAUGCUGAUAAAAGAAGAAUUGACCCAAACUACUCAACCUCAAUCUAAUGAGAUCAAAAGACAUCAGACCAGAAGCUCUAAGGAGCUGAAGAAGAAACUGUCUUUGGCACAAAGCUCCUUCUUAAACCAGCAUCAAGAUAUCCCAGCUAUUCCAGAUUAAAAUAAGGCUAAUUCCUCUAUUUUUAGGACUAUUUCCCAUGCCUUACCAUUUUGGGGUUCACAUACAGUAUUAUUGCAAUCAGAAAAAUUAAUUUGCUAACAUAAGCUAGAGGUUUAUGUUCUGAUUCUUAGUCCUUGUCAAUUCAGAUCAGUUAGUUAUUUUCUGAGAACUGUUUUGGUUGAAUAUCACAAACAAAUUAAUCAAACAUUCAUCAUCAAUAUUGAGAAGAACUAAGCCUGGGUUCUACAUGGAUUUUUUUAAAAGCUCUUGAAAUUUUGGACCAGCUAAAGGGAAUCAAAGUGCAGGCAUUGACCUCACUAAGACCAGAUUUUUAUUUUAGAUGUUUUAUUGGGCCACUGAAUUAUUUUUCUUUCUAAUUUCUAAACGAAAAUCUUAGGAUUUUUAAAAAACUUUAAAAAUGCUUACACAGUGAUGUACAUCAGUAAUGUACGCAGUAAGCUCAAAACUAAUGACCAUCUGCUCUCUCAGGAU